GUUGAACGCUGGCGGCAUGCCUAACACAUGCAAGUCGAGCGGAUGAAGGUAGCUUGCUCCUGGAUUCAGCGGCGGACGGGUGAGUAAUUCCUAGGAAUCUGCCUGGUAGUGGGGGAUAACGUCCGGAAACGGGCGCUAAUACCGCAUACGUUCUGAGGGAGAAAGUGGGGGAUCUUCGGACCUCACUCUAUCAGAUGAACCUAGGUCGGAUUAGCUAGUUGGUGGGGUAAAGGCCUACCAAGGCGACGAUCCGUAACUGGUCUGAGAGGAUGAUCAGUCACACUGGAACUGAGACACGGUCCAGACUCCUACGGGAGGCAGCAGUGGGGAAUAUUGGACAAUGGGCGAAAGCCUGAUCCAGCCAUGCCGCGUGUGUGAAGAAGGUCUUCGGAUUGUAAAGCACUUUAAGUUGGGAGGAAGGGCAGUAAGUUAAUACCUUGCUGUAUUGACGGUACCAACAGAAUAAGCACCGGCUAACUUCGUG
rnacentral:rRNA from 1 species